UACGUAGGGGCCGAGCGUUGUCCGGAGUUAUUGGGCGUAAAGCGCGCGCAGGCGGCCUCGCGCGCCCGACGUGAAAGCCCCCGGCUCAACUGGGGAGGGUCAUUCGAUACUGUCCGACUCGAAGGCAGGAGAGGGAAGCGGAAUUCCCGGUGUAGUGGUGAAAUGCGUAGAUAUCGGGAGGAACACCAGUGGCGAAGGCGGCUUUCUGGCCUGUUCUUGACGCUGAGGCGCGAAAGCUAGGGGAGCGAACGGG
rnacentral:rRNA from 1 species